rnacentral:tRNA from 1 species
GCCGGGGUAGCCUAGAGGCAGUUAUUCCUUUCAAAGGCGGCGGACAGAAAAUCCGCUCACGGCGGUUCAAUUCCUCCCCCCGGCUCCA